GUCGAACGGUGAACGAGGGAGCUUGCUCCCUCCGGAUCAGUGGCGAACGGGUGAGUAACACGUGAGCAAUCUGCCCCGAACUCUGGGAUAAGCGCUGGAAACGGCGUCUAAUACCGGAUACGACGCGGGAGGGCAUCCUCUCCGCGUGGAAAGAACUUCGGUUCGGGAUGAGCUCGCGGCCUAUCAGCUUGUUGGUGAGGUAACGGCUCACCAAGGCGACGACGGGUAGCCGGCCUGAGAGGGUGACCGGCCACACUGGGACUGAGACACGGCCCAGACUCCUACGGGAGGCAGCAGUGGGGAAUAUUGCACAAUGGGCGCAAGCCUGAUGCAGCAACGCCGCGUGAGGGACGACGGCCUUCGGGUUGUAAACCUCUUUUAGUAGGGAAGAAGCGAAAGUGACGGUACCUGCAGAAAAAGCACCGGCUAACUACGUGCCAGCAGCCGCGGUAAUACGUAGGGUGCAAGCGUUGUCCGGAAUUAUUGGGCGUAAAGAGCUCGUAGGCGGUCUGUCGCGUCUGCUGUGAAAACCCGAGGCUCAACCUCGGGCCUGCAGUGGGUACGGGCAGACUAGAGUGCGGUAGGGGAGAAUGGAAUUCCUGGUGUAGCGGUGGAAUGCGCAGAUAUCAGGAGGAACACCGAUGGCGAAGGCAGUUCUCUGGGCCGUAACUGACGCUGAGGAGCGAAAGCGUGGGGAGCGAACAGGAUUAGAUACCCUGGUAGUCCACGCCGUAAACGUUGGGCGCUAGAUGUGGGGACCAUUCCACGGUUUCCGUGUCGC
rnacentral:rRNA from 1 species